UUUUUGUUAGAAAGGAGAUAAGGUUGGUAAUCCCAGAGAAAUUGAGGGGAACCCUCAAAAAUCGUAGUGAUGACUAGUGCCUUUGUUAAUUUUUUU